UGACCGCUGGCGGCAUGCUUUACACAUGCACGUCGAACGGUAACAGGCCUUCGGGUGCUGACGAGUGGCGAACGGGUGAGUAAUGCAUCGGAACGUACCCAGAGGUGGGGGAUAACGCAGCGAAAGCUGUGCUAAUACUGCAUGUGAUCUGAGGAUGAAAGCGGGGGACCGAGCAGCAAUGUUUGGCCUCGCGCCUUUGGAGCGGCCGAUGUCGGAUUAGCUAGUUGGUGGGGUAAAGGCCUACCAAGGCGACGAUCCGUAGCUGGUCUGAGAGGACGACCAGCCACACUGGGACUGAGACACGGCCCAGACUCCUACGGGAGGCAGCAGUGGGGAAUUUUGGACAAUGGGCGCAAGCCUGAUCCAGCAAUGCCGCGUGCGGGAAGAAGGCCUUCGGGUUGUAAACCGCUUUUGGCAGGAACGAAACGGUGUCCGCUAAUACCGGGCGCUAAUGACGGUACCUGCAGAAUAAGCACCGGCUAACUACGUG
rnacentral:rRNA from 1 species